rnacentral:rRNA from 1 species
GGGUUAACGCCCAGAAGAGCCGCAGUGAAUAGGCCCAAGCGACUGUUUAUCAAAAACACAGGUCUCUGCUAAACCGUAAGGUGAUGUAUAGGGGCUGACGCCUGCCCGGUGCUGGAAGGUUAAGAGGAGUGGUUAGCUUCUGCGAAGCUACGAAUCGAAGCCCCAGUAAACGGCGGCCGUAACUAUAACGGUCCUAAGGUAGCGAAAUUCCUUGUCGGGUAAGUUCCGACCCGCACGAAAGGCGUAACGAUUUGGGCACUGUCUCAACGAGAGACUCGGUGAAAUCAUAGUACCUGUGAAGAUGCAGGUUACCCGCGACAGGACGGAAAGACCCCGUGGAG